CCCAAAUACUUCGGCGCGGGCUGUUGCAGCCACCGCGGAUCCAACUGGGGUUGUUGUCGCGCCCGUCCAUAAAACCCUGGCCGCGGGAUUGCCUCACCCUCCUACGCACCUCAACCAAUCGGAAGCACCCUGGAUUGGAGAGAAACCAAAGGGGGGACUGCCUAGAUUAUUGCCACCGCUUCGCGCACACAUCCCGUCUGUGUCGUGCUCGGCCUUCGGGGGUCGUUGUGGGGGUUCGCCGGGGUACACCGGAGACAGUCGGGGCCUCUUCGCGCCGGGAACACCACUUGGGGCUUCGGAAUUACUCGUCAAACCUCCGCUCCGCCGCAAGACCACCCUAUGCCAUAGACUGAGGUCUGCUCAUCCCAAACCUCUGGUUACGAGUCACUUGAAGAGCAAGUUGGUACCUAGGAAUCUCGAGCCUAAGGUAAGUUGUGCCCUUGAUCACUUUUCUUUACAUAAUAAUGUUCAUGUUAAUCACUGUGACAUGCUCAGCUCAAUUUGAUGGGACCCAAUAGGUUUCCCUAGCGUUGUUUAUCCCUUACCUUGCAAACAGAAGCACCAUUGGGUAGUUUUGCUAUUGCUCUACUUGGUUUUGGUAAAUUAAUGUUAUAUUAUGAUCAUGUUCCAGUUAUACUGUUGUUUUAAUUAUUGUUUAUGACAAUAUCAUUAUGUUAAUUGGAACAUGGAGCGACCACCCUGGAAAAAGAGUGCUACCACAAGGGUGGUAUGGGACGCCCUUGGCUAACUAAUUAGGAAAGCUAGUGGAAGACUACCUUACCUGAAAAGGCAACACAAAAAGGGGUUAAAUGAUAACACCCUUCGUCCUUCGAAGCAUUAUUUCCCUGAGGAUAUAACGAUCUUCGGACGAAGGUCAUGAAGGACAUACCUUCAUCAUCACAACAUGUAUUAAUGAAAGACGAAGCAUAUGAAACAUGAGAAACAACAUAGAUAAUUAUAUAACAUCAUCCAUGUUGGGGGCCUUCGUCCUCCGAAGGUCCUCAAAAACAUAAUUUAACAAUGUCUUCCAAGUAUGGUUUAUGGACAGGUAUCUUCAGAUUAAUGAUAAAAGCAUACACGAUGAGGAGCUUGGUCGUGACGAAGGUUGUCGUCGCUCCGAAGCUGUGCGAAAGGGAGCUUCGGCUAAAUCACAGAAAAGGGAACCGACUUAAAAGGGAAAAGGUUGUUCAGUCCUCAUAGAUUUUUUUAUAAGCCAAUAGUAAAUGUAAAGGGCAUAAUUGUAAUUUCUCAUAGGUUGUGUCUUGUGCCUAUAAAUAGAUGAACAGUACCCCUGUACUGUUCAUGCUGACUGGUACUUGCUUUUGCAUCACGCUUGUACUUUUUGUCUUCUGUUAAGCCGAGGUACUUUUGUAAUUCAAUAUUGUUUCUGUC